UGGGGAAUUUUGCACAAUGGGGGAAACCCUGAUGCAGCGACGCCGCGUGAUUUAGAAGGCCUUCGGGUUGUAAAAAUCUUUUCUAUGAGAAGAAAAUGACAGUACCAUAGGAAUAAGGACCGGCUAAUUACGUGCCAGCAGCCGCGGUAAUACGUAAGGUCCGAGCGUUGUCCGGAAUCAUUGGGCGUAAAGGGUACGUAGGCGGGUAAGCAAGUUAGAAGUGAAAUCCUAUAGCUCAACUAUAGUAAGCUUUUAAAACUGCUCAUCUUGAGGUAUGGAAGGGAAAGUGGAAUUCCUAGUGUAGCGGUGAAAUGCGCAGAUAUUAGGAGGAAUACCGGUGGCGAAGGCGACUUUCUGGCCAUAACCUGACGCUGAGGUACGAAAGCGUGGGUAGCAAACAGG
rnacentral:rRNA from 1 species